GCCUGGACCCUUUUGAUGAAUAUUCCCUUUCUCCCAUUGGAUAUAUAUUUUGUGUUUGGACACAUUUUCAUUGUUUUGUUUUGUGUUGGGGUUUUCCCCACAUUUUUCUAUGAACAUUCUUGGAAGUAGGAAUUACGUAUGGGCUGGUCGCCUAGAGAAGGCAAUGCGCGGGCUGGUCCAGGACUUGGAGCACCGAAGCAAAUCCCCCAUUUGCCCAGGCAUGUACAGUAUGGCAUUGUGCUUCGUUUGGACGGACUCCUGCAUAAGAGGAUAAGGACCAGGGCUGAGCCUGACAGCCGCCUGCAAUGCCUGCACCUACAUUUUUCCAGUGGAAAUAAAAACCUAAUUGAGAAACUCUGCUUUUGCAGUAUGUCUUCACAAGAAAAUGAUUUGGCCUGAGAGAAAAAAAUUCUAAUCAGUCUGUCAA